rnacentral:rRNA from 1 species
AGCAGCCGCGGUAAUUCCAGCUCCAAUAGCGUAUAUUAAAGUUGUUGCAGUUAAAAAGCUCGUAGUUGAAUUUCGGGAUCAAUCUGUUGGUCGUGCCUUUGGUACGUACUAGCUUAUUGAUUUCUCCCUUCUGACGAACCAUGAUGUCAUUAAUUUGGUGUCAUGGGGAAUCAGGACUGUUACUUUGAAAAAUUAGAGUGUUUAAAGCAGGCUCACGCUUGAAUACAUUAGCAUGGAAUAAUGAAAUAGGACGUUUUGAUUCUAUUUUGUUGGUUUCUAGGAUCGACGUAAUGAUUAAUAGGGAUAGUUGGGGGCAUUAGUAUUCAAUUGUCAGAGGUGAAAUUCUUGGAUUUAUUGAAGACUAACUACUGCGAAAGCAUUUGCCAAGGAUGUUUUCAUUAAUCAAGAACGAAAGUUAGGGGAUCGAAGACGAUCAGAUACCGUCGUAGUCUUAACCAUAAACUAUGCCGACUAGGGAUCGGAUGAUGUUAAUUUUUAAUGACUCAUUCGGU